GAUGAACGCUAGCUACAGGCUUAANACAUGCAAGUCGAGGGGCAGCGGGAUUGAAGCUUGCUUCAAUUGCCGGCGACCGGCGCACGGGUGAGUAACGCGUAUCCAACCUUCCGUACACUCAGGGAUAGCCUUUCGAAAGAAAGAUUAAUACCUGAUGGUAUGAUGAGAUUGCAUGAUAGCAUCAUUAAAGAUUUAUCGGUGUACGAUGGGGAUGCGUUCCAUUAGGUAGUAGGCGGGGUAACGGCCCACCUAGCCAACGAUGGAUAGGGGUUCUGAGAGGAAGGUCCCCCACAUUGGAACUGAGACACGGCCCAAACUCCUACGGGAGGCAGCAGUGGGGAAUAUUGCACAAUGGGGGAAACCCUGAUGCAGCGACGCCGCGUGAGUGAUGAAGUAUUUCGGUAUGUAAAACUCUAUCAGCAGGGAAGAUAAUGACGGUACCUGACUAAGAAGCACCGGCUAAAUACGUG
rnacentral:rRNA from 1 species